rnacentral:rRNA from 1 species
CGGGUGAGUAACACGUGGAUAAUCUUACCUUUUAGUCGUGGGACUAACCCCGACCGAAAGGCGAGCUAAUACCGGAUAAGACCACGGAACAUAAGUUCUGCGGUUAAAGGCAGGGACCUUCGGGCCUGCCUCUAGAAGAUGAGUCCGCGUCCCAUCAGCUUGUUGGUAAGGUAACGGCUUACCAAGGCUAAGACGGGUAGCUGGUCUGAGAGGACGAUCAGCCACACUGGCACUGGAACACGGGCCAG